rnacentral:misc_RNA from 1 species
UGUGGGAGCGAGCUUGCUCGCGAUUACGGUAUGUCAGUCAGCCCCCAUUCUGCUGACCGGACGCCAUCGCGAGCAAGCUCGCUCCCACA